AGGAGCAGAGAGGGAGAGGAGGAAGAGCGGGGUAGGAGGAGCAGAAUAGGGAGAGACAGGGGAACCCCGGAAAGAUUCUGUACAGGGUUUCUGCUUCCGUGGGAGAUGAAACCAAGGGGCUCUCCUCGAGAAACAGCCCAACACGGAUAGACCACAGGAAACAAAGGAUUUUGUGACAUUGUUCACAAGACUCAAAAGACGAACUCCGAGGGACAGAAAACGAAGCAGUGCUGAGGAUCCAACCCAGGCCCUCCUGCACACCAGACAAGCGCUUUACCUCUGAGCCACACUCCAGCCAUGCACACUUUAAACCUACAUGCUUUGAAAGGUACUGCCACAUAACAAAAAGACAAACACCACAGUGGAAGGAAGUAUUUGCAAAUCACAUGUCUCAGGGAUGUGUGACGUGCAAGUCACAUGUUAAGGGACUUGUACCUAGAAUAUAUAUAUAAGGUAUGCACACUAAAUAAGAAGACAUAUACAGUAAUACCUUGGUUUACAAAUGCUUAUGCUUGCAAACACUUCUGUUCAUGAACAGAGCAUUUGACAAAAUUUCACUUCCAUUUGUGAACUCUGCAUUGGGAAACAAAAGCAACUGUGGCCAUCUUCCCCACAUGCACACGAAUGCAGCCGUUGUCCUCAGAAUCGUGGAAAGAAUUAAGUUUGUGACCUGAGGUACCACUGUAGUCCAUUAAAAU